rnacentral:rRNA from 1 species
UUUCCUACGGGGGGCUGCAGUGGGGAAUCUUGCACAAUGGGGGAAACCCUGAUGCAGCGACGCCGCGUGAACGAUGAAGCCCUUCGGGGUGUAAAGUUCUUUCGACGGGGACGAUAAUGACGGUACCCGGAGAAGAAGCUGCGGCUAACUACGUGCCAGCAGCCGCGGUAAUACGUAGGCAGCAAGCGUUGUUCGGAAUUACUGGGCGUAAAGAGUGCGUAGGUGGUUGGCCAAGUUUGGUGUGAAAUCUCCCGGCUUAACUGGGAGGGUGCGCCGAAAACUGGUUGACUAGAGUGUGGGAGAGGGACGUGGAAUUCCUGGUGUAGCGGUGAAAUGCGUAGAUAUCAGGAGGAACACCUGCGGUGUAGACGGCGUCCUGGACCAUGACUGACACUGAGGCACGAAAGCGUGGGGAGCAAACAGGAUUAGAUACCCGAGUAGUCAUC